rnacentral:lncRNA from 1 species
UUUUGAAGUCUGGGUGUACAUGCCCUCUUCAAGAACAGCUUCUCCAAAAAAUGAAUUGUUGGGAAUAUGUAAGUUUUGAUGUUAAAUUAAACUAACUACGCAUCUUCUCACGAAGAAGAAGAUCAAGAGCAACCUACAAAACCCACAGCUUUGCCCUCAAAACCCAGUUCUUCCUCUUCCUCUUUGUUUUCUUUUCUACCCAAA